UACGGGGGGAGCAAGCGUUGUUCGGAAUUACUGGGCGUAAAGGGCUCGUAGGCGGCCAACUAAGUCAGACGUGAAAUCCCUCGGCUUAACCGGGGAACUGCGUCUGAUACUGGAUGGCUUGAGUUUGGGAGAGGGAUGCGGAAUUCCAGGUGUAGCGGUGAAAUGCGUAGAUAUCUGGAGGAACACCGGUGGCGAAGGCGGCAUCCUGGACCAACACUGACGCUGAGUGAGCGAAAGCCAGGGGAGCAAACGGG
rnacentral:rRNA from 1 species